AAAUUCCUGCACGACACCGGUCACCUGGGUCCUGGGACUCACGUUGUGCAGGUCAGUACAGCUCCCGGAUUCGCGGCUGCCCCGUGUCUCUACCGUCCGGCCAGGUCACGCUGUGAUCCCCAUUCUGGGGAAGCCUUUCAAAGUCAGACCCCUCUCUCCUAUGCCUGCUAUUGAAACCCUUCCUCCGGGGCUCCUAGCCCCCCUCGCCUCAGGCCCCCACCAUCAGGCCCAGCCCUCGGGCUGUAGAGAAGCUCCACCUGUCCCCUCCCAGACGAGCUUCCUUCUAGCUAGCGCCCUGCACGCAGCCCAAGUCACUUCCCCUUUGCAGCUUAACUGGCUGAUCGGGCCCCCCCUUAACCCCAUUCUGUCAGGGCUGAUACAGGGAGGGGAUCGCAGGGUCCUGGUCUGGAUAAGAUUUGGUCCCCAGUCUGGGAUGGGGUGGGAGAGGUUGUGCUGCAGGGACUGAGGCCCUGCAAAUAGCAGGGAAGAAAGGAGAAUAGAAUGAAGGGGAGGGUAGAUGGAGCAGACAGACUGACCGACCGACCACGCCCCCUGCAAUGGGUGGGCGGUAUCUCCAUGGUCAUUUGCCCCCAGUGCGCCCCCUGCCCUGCUAUGUGUGACCCCCUCUCUCCCCGCUGCCCCUUCUCAGACAUCGACAAGUGCUGCAAGACCUCAGAUAUCUGCAGUCCCAAGGUCAUGUGUAUCAACACCAAUGGGAGCUACUGGUGUAAGUGCUGGGCCGGCUACGUCCCCUCCAACAGGAACACGACCCUGUGCCAAGGUGGGUCCUGUCACGGGGGGCAUGGAGGGAGCAUCUCAGGGGACUGAGCAGAGUCUGAGGCUACAUAGACAGAGGUCUUGCCUGAGGGGGCAGGGAGCUGAGAACAGGUCCGGGUGUUGCACCAGGCCCCCUGCUCCCCAUGGAUGAGGUCCCUCUGGGUCUCAACCCUAGCUGGGGAGGGCUCAUCCUCAAGGCCCUCACCUCCCUCCAGCCCAGCCUGUCCGUCCACUGGGGUGUUUCCAGUUGUCUCAGAGCCACAGCCACCAGUGUGCCCAUGUCUGGCUUGGGGAGCGGAGGGAUUCUCCCCUCCCUCCAUGCAGGAAGGCGAUUCUGGAAGCAGAAUGACUGUACCCAAUUGAGCGAGGAAUGUGGGUGAAGGCCAAGCAGCACACAGUUAAGAUGCCUGUACACCAAGGCAAGGAGGCUGGGUAACAAAAGGAGGAACUAGAGCUCCUGCUGCAGGAAGUGAAACCAGACACUGUAGGAUAACAGAACCUGGUGGAAUAGGCAUGGCUGGAGUCA